GUGACAAGUACGUCCACUCUUCUGUCCAGCUUUUAACAAUCUAACUAAUGCUCUCUCCAGGGUCACCCUAGAAUCAGAUCUGCUCUACAGCAUCUUCUGUUUCCUGGCAAGUGAUUCCUGCUACUUUGGAUGGCCAUGACGGGCUGGAGCUGCCUUGUGACAGGAGCAGGAGGGUUUCUGGGACAAAGGAUCAUCCGCCUCUUGGUGAAGGAGAAGGAGCUGAAGGAGAUCAGGGCCUUGGACAAGGCCUUCAGACCAGAACUGAGGGAGGAAUUUUCUAAGCUCCAGAACAAGACCAAGCUGACAGUGCUGGAAGGAGACAUUCUGGAUGAGCCAUUCCUGAAGAGAGCCUGCCAGGACGUCUCGGUCGUCAUCCACACCGCCUGUAUCAUUGAUGUCUUCGGAGUCACUCACAGAGAGUCCAUCAUGAAUGUCAAUGUGAAAGGUAGGGUAGCCUGGGGAGGAGAUGCAGCAAGGUGGGGAAUUAGGGAUCACAAAGAAGGGCAGGAAGGGAAGAGAAGUCCCUCCACUGAACACCUGCUGUGCUCUGGGCCAAGUGCCUUUGUUGAUCACUACCAACAGGGGAGUUCAAGACUGCUAACUUUAGUUUUUUAGAUGAUAAAACUAGGACUGAAAGAGGGCAAGUAACUUGUCCAAGGUCCCCCAGGUAAGUAAGCAAGUAGGAGAGUUAGACUUUAAACUCACCCCUGUGUGACUCCAAAGGCUGU
rnacentral:sRNA from 1 species